AUUACGCCGCGCCGGGGCUGCCUGGGCGCCGCCGUUCGAUUUGUCACCGGCCUCGUUCGCUGAUAACAGGCAUUUGUCAUCGCCUUGCCUCCCUGUUAAUGUUAUCAUCUCCUCCCUGACAGCCGCCCUCCGCCGGGGAGCGCCGGCGACAAAGCACAUCCGUCAAGCGAAUAUUUCCACGGCUAAGGGGACAGCACACUGCAAUAAGCCACAUUAAAGCACUUAUGAAGGGUGCAGGCCGAGUGUGUGUGUAUGUGUGUGUGUGUGCGUGUGUGCGUGUGUGUGUGUGUGUAUGCACCGGUGCCAUGAAGCGCGCUGAAGCGUGCGCAGCGUGCGCAUACACAUCCGUAAACACAAGCGCGCAGGAGCGUGUAGCGCGCUUGUCAGUGCCGUAAAAGAGGCGAGGUGGGGGCCGACAGGGAGAGGAAGAGCAGGGAUGUGACAACAUUUAUCCUUUCUGGCUCAGUUGGGGGUUGCAGGGCCAUUCUGCAGGGGCUGACAGAUGGAUCAGCCAGCCUAAAGGCAGUGGGAAGAGAUGAAAAGAGAGAGAAGCACCACUUCCCAUUCUUCAACAUACUGUAUGACUCCCAAAUUUGCCAUACCACGUCACAAAUGUGCAAUCCUCCACAGCCACGAUGAUGGCAGUUUUACACACUGAGAGAACGCUGCUACAGUAUGUCAGAGCAAUGAUUCACUAAAGCUUCUUCACACCAUGACCACACUACACAGUUUGAGGUAAAUGACAAGAGUAGAGAUGGUCAUAACCUCUUUAAGUAACAUUUUAACUCAAAAUGUCUCAUUUACAUGUUGAGGACAGAGUUGCAGUUCUUCAAUAACAAUGAAUAGUCUUAUUCAUUCUGGGAAAUGUAGGUUGGUUGUUGCUCUAUAGAGGUGUAAGACAUUU